rnacentral:antisense_RNA from 1 species
AUUCUUCCUCCAUUACCGCACUGCCUCCGGUGGCUGCUGGGAUACCGGAGGACUCGGGUCCCGGCUCGACUCAGUCUUCCAGCCGCCCGGGGAAUACCUCUAGUUCUUCCCGGCCGCCGCCGCCUCCGCCCCGCCGCUUCCUCCUCCGCCGCCGGCCUCCUUCGCCCCGCCCGUCCGCGCAGCGCGUCCGGCCCGCCCGCAGGCCAGCUUCUCUCGGGAGCCCCCACCCAGGCUCAUGGCUCCAUGAAGCAAGAGGAGGAGGCAGAGCGCGAGAGGUCCGUCCGCCCCAGCCGCGUCUGGGCCAGGAGAAAAGCAAAACCAUAUUCCUGCUGCUGUCAGUUAUGAUGCACUGAGAAAACUUCAGAGACCUAAGCUUUUUCCAGAGAAGAGAAGCUUUACUGGUGUUCCAGCCCUAAGAAACCUUUGUUCAACAAAACUGCAGAUGCUCUGUUGAAUCCACUGGAGAUUGUCCUCAUACUAAGGACAAGUAUCAACCAUCUUUCCUGUGAAAAAUUCCCUCUCCUAGUACUUUAGUUCUGUGGAUCCAAAAUUUAUAGCAUUCUUCUACCACCACAGGGGCUCAUAUGACAUUAACAGACAAGACACUUUUCAGAAAGACAGGCAACGUGUUGGACCUUCCUGAGCUUCUCAGAAGACAGAGGAUUUUCUUUUGAG